ACCUGCGGAAGGAUCAUUACAGAGAGGGGUGUCGAGCCCCAGGGGACUGCGGUCCCCGCCUCUAUACCCCGUGAUUUGCGUUACCUUUUGUUGCCUUGGCGGGAUGCCGCCCCCCUCUCGGGCGGGUGGUUGAUCCGCCAGCAGCCUAGCAAAACUCGUUUUAUUCGUGCUGGUCCGAAUACCAACUUAUAAUGAAUCAAAACUUUCAACAACGGAUCUCUUGGUUCUGGCAUCGAUGAAGAACGCAGCGAAAUGCGAUAAGUAAUGUGAAUUGCAGAAUUCAGUGAAUCAUCAAAUCUUUGAACGCACAUUGCGCCCCUCGGUAUUCCGGGGGGCAUGCCUGUUCGAGCGUUAUUACACCGUUCAAGCGUAGCUUGGUAUUGGGUCCCUCGUCCGGGGUUUCCCGCGGCGUGCCCGAAAAAUAUUGGCGGUCCGGAGCGACUUUUAGCGUAGUAAAUCUUCUCCCGCUUUGAAAGGCUCGCAUCGUGGCCGGCCAGAAAACCACCAAUUUUUUUUAUAAUUGACCUCGGAUCAGGUAGGGAUACCCGCUGAACUUAAGCAUAUCAA
rnacentral:misc_RNA from 1 species